rnacentral:rRNA from 1 species
ACGGAAGGCAGCAGUGGGGGAUAUUGGGCAAUGGGCUAAAGCCUGACCCAGCAACGCCGCGUGAAGGAAGAAGGUCUUCGGAUUGUAAACUUCUUUUAUGAGGGACGAAGGACGUGACGGUACCUCAUGAAUAAGCCACGGCUAACUACGUGCCAGCAGCCGCGGUAAUACGGAGGUGGCAAGCGUUAUCCGGAUUUACUGGGUGUAAAGGGCGCAUAGGCGGGGUGGCAAGUCAGAUGUGAAAUCUAUGGGCUUAACCCAUAAACUGCAUUUGAAACUGUAUCUCUUGAGUGCUGGAGAGGUAGAUGGAAUUCCUUGUGUAGCGGUGAAAUGCGUAGAUAUAAGGAGGAACACCAGUGGCGAAGGCGGCUUGCUGGACGACAACUGACGCUGAGGCGCGAAAGCGUGGGGAGCAAACAGGAUUAGAUACCCUGGUA